rnacentral:rRNA from 1 species
AGUGAACGCUGGCGGUAGGCCUAACACAUGCAAGUCGAACGGCAGCACAGUAAGAGCUUGCUCUUACGGGUGGCGAGUGGCGGACGGGUGAGGAAUACAUCGGAAUCUACUUUUUCGUGGGUGAUAACGUAGGGAAACUUACGCUAGUACCUCAUACGACCUACGGGUGAAAUCAUUGGAUCUUCUGACCUUGCGCGAUUGAAUGAGCCGAUGUCGGAUUAGCUAGUUGGCGGGGUAAAGGCCCACCAAGGCGACGAUCCGUAGCUUGUCUGAGAGGAUGAUCAGACACACUGGAACUGAGACACGGUACAGACUACUACGGGAGGAAGCAGUGGGGAAUAUUGGACAAUGGGCGCAAGCAUGAUCCAGCAAUACCGCGUGGGUGAAGAAGGCCUUCGGGUUGUAAAGCACUUUUGUUGGGAAAGAAAAGAAGCAGGUUAAUACCCCGCUGUUCUGACGGUACCAAAAGAAUAAGCACCGGCUAACUUCGUG